rnacentral:ncRNA from 1 species
UUUUUGCUGAAUUAGUGAUCGGCUUAAACACCCUAAGUGCUCUUGUUUUCAAGAGUCUAAAUUUUUAAAUAUUGGAGUUACACAUGUCACUAAGUACUCAAGAAACUGCUGAAAUCGUUGCUAAAUUUGCUCGUGCUGAA